GCACGGCGCUCACGCGACCAUCGACGGGCUAUGAAGGAGGAGGAGCCAUGGCAUGGAGGUGGUGGCCACUUGGUAGCCUUCGUCUGCGGCGUCAUACCACUGUCGGGGUGCCGCGCAAGAGGUCAGGUCCGCCGCCACCGCGAGCCAGGGGACGCCCGUUGGUGAGCCUGCGUGCAGGAAGCCGACGGGGGGCACGGCGUCAACAAGCCGACAGGAGGCGGGGUCUUCCCGCUGGGAUGGAGGAGCAGGCGAUGGCCAGGAGGCCACCGGUGGGGGAGCAACGAGGCCCGAGCUCUAGGCUCCGCACACAUUGCGGGAUGGAGAAGAGGCCGGCGUGGGGCGCAAGGAGCAGCAGGGGAAGAACGGUGGGGCUUUCAUCUCCUCUCUCAUCCCGACACCUGCAACCUCGCCACUGGUGCUCGCUCGGCCGGUGUAUGGGUGGCGGCCGGGAGUUUGGCCCUCGGCACGAAUUCGAGCCCCGAGUCUAGCUGACGAGCCCCAUGGUUGGUUUGUCCUCCUACCUCCAGAUCCCCUCUUACUCAUUCUCCUCCUCUCCCCAUAUUUUGCUCUGUUGUUUGUGUUCCUUCAAUUUGCAGGGAUUGUGGGAAGCAAAUGUACGUGGGGAGUUGUUCUACUCUCUCCCUUGAGGUGGGUUGAGUUGCGGUUUAGGUGGAGACGUUGGUGCUGUUUGAGACGCCCACUAGGUUCGCCGUUUUCAAGGUUCUGAACAAGGGCAAGCUCGACAAGAUCAAGGAUCUAUGGAAGGAGUUCAACACAUCGGACUCGGCGAGAAAGUCAAUUAUCCAUUUCGUUCAGCAUGGUGGCCAAGAUGCGGCAGCCCCAUGCUCUGUUCCGAUGGGCCUCCUCUGCUCGAUGGUUGACGCUGGUUGAGUUUGGUACGGUUUCCUGUUGUUGCUUGUGUCGAGCCAUGGGUCCGUCUCUCCUUCGCACUGAGCGUAAUUCUCCUGUCGCUGGCGCUUCUUCUUCUCGUCCGUCCUGCUGCUUACCAAAGUGCUUCUGCUUGCUGCCUCAGGUUGUACGAUCUCUUCUGUCACUGUCAUUCGACUCAUUAAGGUUUCUUCUUUUCUUUCUACUACAUGUGUGCAUGUUUUACUUUCAGUAUCUUCUAUGUCAUGCUGUCUGCCUUGGUGAUCUUUUAAAUAUCUGUAUUUUGUGCUGAUCGUUUAAAUGUUCCGGAUAUGGUUGGGCGUUGUGUGUUGUUCGUUCUCGGUGCUACUUAUAUUUCGUGUAUGCGUGUGAACAGGGUGUGUAUGCUUGUUUCCGUUGUUAUACCUGUUUUGGAGGCUGUGGGUAGCUCGAUGCGCUUUGCCGUCCCUUUCAUAUCUGUGUGUAGUCGGAGGAUGGCUCUGUUCUUGCUGGUGUAGAACUCGAGCUCCCAGUGGGACAGAUCUGGUCCUAUGGAGAAGCUUGAUGAACAAGCCGAGGCAAGCUCUGGUGGUAAAGCUGAAACUUCAUCACCUACUGUUGAAGAAAAGGAUGAUGACAAUGACCAGGCUCAAGUGACCAGAAACAAAAGAAUGAAGUGGCAAGCAUAGAAGAAAUGCAGAGCCAGUUUCCCUCGGAUACAGUGUAUUACACUGAGUCUGAGGAUACACAACAGUCUAUUGAGGUUAAUUGAUUCAUUGACGACACCGUCAACCGAAACUGCAAUUGUGCAUUCAGUUACAAGUAGUGUGCUUGAAUUUGAGGAUGUGGACGAAGAAUUUGAUGAAUCCGUCGAUUAUGACGCAAUGUUUGUUGAAGAACAUGUUGAAAUUACGGAUGAAGAGGAAGCUGCGGAUGAAGGAGAUGAAGAGGAAGAUGAGGAUGAGGAUGAGGAUGGAGAGGAAGACGGGGAUGAGGAUGAAGAGGAAGAUGGAGCUGAGGAAGGACAUGCAGUUGGUUCUAAGAGAAAGCUCACAUCAAUUGUUUGGGUUGAUUUCAAGAAAGUGAAGGUCCGUGGGAGAUGGAAGGCACAAUGUCUUCAUUGUAAGAAGAAACUUGGAGGGGAAUCAAAGAAUGGGACAAAGCAUCUUCAUGUUCAUUUGGUGGCUUGUACUAUUUGAGCCAAUCUUCUUUGAGGUUCAGUUCUAGUAGCCAUGGAAAAGUUUCGGUGGAGAACUAUACUUUUAACCAAGUUUUUGUUAGAAAGAUGCUUGCUUCCAUGAUUGUGCUGCAUGAGUACCCCUUAUCCAUAGUUGAUCAUACGGGGUUUCAAAGAUUUGUUAGUGCAUUGCAAACCUUGUUUACUAUGGUGACAAGAAACACUAUUAGGAGGGAUAUUUUGGACGCUUACAAAGUUGAAAGGAAGAAGGCUAUCGAGUAGAUGGCUGCAAAUCGAUCAAGGGUGGCUAUCACUACUGAUUUAUGGACGGCUGGCAAUCAAAAGAAAGGAUACAUGGAAAUCACGGGCCAUUUCAUUGAUGACUCUUGGAAAAUUAGGAGUGUUAUCAUGAGGUAUAUGAUGUUAUUUUAUCGAUAGUUGUUUUUGCAGUACGUUCUUUGCUGUUGUUUUUAUUGAUAUUUGAUGUUGUAGUACAUUGUUUGGUGUUGUUUUAUCGAUAUUUGCUGUUGUAGUACAUUGUUUGGUGUUGUUUUUAUUAAUAU